rnacentral:lncRNA from 1 species
AAGUAGAAGUUACUCUCACCUCCAUUGAAUAGAUACAGCUCAAUAAUAACUUAAUUAUACAUUUUUAAAUAACUGAAAGAGUGUAAUUGGAUUAUUUGUAACACAAAGAUAAAUGUUUGAGGGGAGGAAUGCCCCAUUCUCCAUGAUGUGCUUAUUUCGUAUUGCAUGCCUGUAUCAAAACAUCUCAUGUACUCCAUAAAUCUAUACACCUACUAUAUACCCACAACAAUUAAAAAUUAAAUAGGUACAGCUCAGAGAGGUCAUGCGACUUACCCAAGGUCACACAUCUAAUAAAUCAGAAGACUGACGUGAACUUUGGAUACCUGGCUCUGAAGCUGAGUUUGACCUCGACGCUAUACUGUCAAAACAAUUACUGCCAAAAUCUAGACCCUUCACUCCCAAUCUUGACCUCUCCCUAAAUUACUAAAUAAAAUGACCUAAUUUAUUUUCUAUCUUAAUUUUCAAUCACUCAAAGAGUUGAAAAAUCUACUAAUUAUCAUGGUGCUCUGAUUAUGUAUCCUUCAUUUUUAUAUUUAACAAUGAAAAGUAAAUUUCUUAUAUUUCCUGAUACAUAUGACAAUUACCUCAAAUACUAAGACACACAGUUUACCUUAAAUAAUUCUAAUUUCUGCAUUGUUUGUGUGUUGUCUCAUAUUUCUAAGGCAAUAGCCUCUCACUUCUAGAGACUUCAGAAUAUUAUUAUUAUUAUUAAGUAACAUUUACAUAGCACUUUAUAUUGCCAAGUGUUUUACAAUUAAUUCUAGCAGUUGUUCCUCCCAGGAUUCUCCUAAUGUAAGACAGUGGUUUGUUAAAUCCUCUGAAUAGACCACAAAUGAAAAUUAUUUCAAAUAGGUCUAGUGGAACUUUUUCUAAGUUUCAAGACCACUCUUUUGGGUGCUACAAUUAGCAAUGUCUCUCAAGAGCACAACCCAAGAAACAUGGCCAAUGAAAUAAUUAUCAAUUCAAAAAGUUGAUAGUGCUAGAGAAGAAAGCUGCUAAAUCAUGCCUAUGUGCAAGAGAAAUUGUGUCUAAAAUAUUUUUACUGCUGAUUAGUUUCUGCAGUUAGUUGCACAUCAGGCUAAUUUUCUUUCCACUUGCAAUUUUCAAGAAUCUUCACUGUAGGCUAGACUUUGAAUUCCUACUUUAAUGGAAGUUCUAAACAGCUCCUUACUUUGAUACGUAU